ACCAGACUCCUACGGGAGGCAGCAGUGGGGAAUAUUGCACAAUGGGGGAAACCCUGAUGCAGCGACGCCGCGUGAGUGAAGAAGUAUUUCGGUAUGUAAAGCUCUAUCAGCAGGGAAGAAGAAGGACGGUACCUGAGUAAGAAGCCCCGGCUAACUACGUGCCAGCAGCCGCGGUAAUACGUAGGGGGCAAGCGUUAUCCGGAUUUACUGGGUGUAAAGGGAGCGUAGACGGCAUGGCAAGUCAGAUGUGAAAGCCCGGGGCUCAACCCCGGGACUGCAUUUGAAACUGUCAGGCUGGAGUGCAGGAGAGGUAAGUGGAAUUCCUAGUGUAGCGGUGAAAUGCGUAGAUAUUAGGAGGAACACCAGUGGCGAAGGCGGCUUACUGGACUGUAACUGACGUUGAGGCUCGAAAGCGUGGGGAGCAAACAGGAUUAGAUACCCCAGUA
rnacentral:rRNA from 1 species